UACGAACCUGUGCGAACGUUAUUCGGAAUCACUGGGCUUAAAGGGUGCGUAGGCGGCUGCCUAAGUCAGGUGUGAAAUCUCCCGGCUCAACCGGGAAACUGCGCUUGAUACUGGGCGGCUCGAGUGAGGUAGGGGUGUGUGGAACUUCCGGUGGAGCGGUGAAAUGUGUAGAUAUCGGAAGGAACGCCAGCAGCGAAAGCGGCACACUGGGCCUUUUCUGACGCUGAGGCACGAAAGCCAGGGGAGCGAACGGG
rnacentral:rRNA from 1 species